rnacentral:rRNA from 1 species
UACGGAGGGUGCAAGCGUUAUCCGGAUUCACUGGGCUUAAAGGGUGCGUAGGUGGGUCUGUAAGUCAGUGGUGAAAUCUCCGGGCUUAACCCGGAAACUGCCAUUGAUACUAUAGGUCUUGAAUUAUCCGGAGGUAAGCGGAAUAUGUCAUGUAGCGGUGAAAUGCUUAGAUAUGACAUAGAACACCAAUUGCGAAGGCAGCUUACUGCGGAUCGAUUGACACUGAGGCACGAAAGCGUGGGGAUCAAACAGG